CCUACGGGGGGCAGCAGUGAGGAAUAUUGGUCAAUGGGCGCGAGCCUGAACCAGCCAAGUCGCGUGAGGGAAGACGGUCCUAUGGAUUGUAAACCUCUUUUGUCGGGGAGCAAAAGACGCCACGCGUGGCGUUCCGAGAGUACCCGAAGAAAAAGCAUCGGCUAACUCCGUGCCAGCAGCCGCGGUAAUACGGAGGAUGCGAGGUUUAUCCGGUUUUAUUGGGUUAAAAGGGUGCGCAGGCGGAAGAUCAAGUCAGCGGUAAAAUUGAGAGGCUCAACCUCUUCGAGCCGUUGAAACUGGUUUUCUGGAGUGAGUGAGAAGUAUGCGGAAUGCGUGGUGUAGCGGUGAAAUGCAUAGAUAUCACGCAGAACUCCGAUUGUGAAGGCAGCAUACGGGCGCUCAACUGACGCUCAUGCACGAAAGUGUGGGUAUCGAACAGGAUUAGAUACCCUUGUAGUC
rnacentral:rRNA from 1 species